CAUUAUUUAUAAUAGGCCCUGGAAACAACCCAGAUGUCUCAGUGGGCAAAUGGUUAAACAAACUGUGGUGCAUCUAGACCUUGGACUACUACCCAGCAAUAAAAAGGGAGCAAACCAUGGAUACACACAAAACUUGGAUGGAUUUCAAGUGAAAAAGCCAAUCCCAAAGAAUUACGUAUGUUAUGAUUUUAUUUAUAUAACGUUCUUGAAACCAUAAAAUUAGUGUGAGAGAGUAUAGUUUAGUGAUUGGCAGGGGUUAGGGCCAGGGGGUGGAGGAUGGAAGGAGAGGGAAAUAGAUUAUGUUACAAAAAGGCAACAUAAGAGAUGGUGAUUGAUAUACAAACCUCCACAUGUGAUAAAAUGGCAUAGAAUUAAAUACACGUGCACGUGCACACACACACACACACACACACACACAGAGUAAAUGUAAGACAGGAGGGAAAUCUGAUCAAGAUCUAUGGAUUGUACCAUCAAUUUCCUAGUUGUAAUAUUGCACAUACUAGAGUUUUGUAAGAUGUUACCAUUGGAAGGAAACUGUGGAUAAAAGACACAUUGUAUCUCUCUGUAUUAUUUCUUACAACCCGAUGUGAAUCUAUAAUUACCUCUAUUUAAUUAAAUUGUAAAAAGUUAAAUGGAAUCUAACUAAUAUUCUCAUGAUAUAGUUGUUAACCCUGUACAGAAAAAGAACCCAAGUAUGAAGCCAAAGAAAGAGCAGUGGUGAAGCCUGAAAAAAGCUCAAAGCGCGGGACAAAGGCAGAGCUGGAGCUGUUCCUGCACCUGUGGGUGUAUGGGGAGCAGGGGAGAGAAGGUAUCAGCACAGGUCAUUUUUAGGGUGCCAGGGCAGGGUUGAGGAGGGAGUUCUUAGCAGUAGAAACCCACUGUGUGCUAACAGCAGUGAGGAGAGUCCUAGCAGCAAGGGUGGGAACAGAUAGGCAGCUUCCAAUGGGUGCCCAAGGUCCAAGCAUGAGUUUUUUUUUAACUCUAGAAACCCAAACAUACACUAUUUGAUAAAACUAAAAUUACUUUAGCUGCUGGAAGCAAAUCUGUGUUUUUUGUGAUCGAUUCAAACCACAGAUAGAGCAGGGGAUUGUCUUUCGGUAGGUGUGAAUGGGGCUGUAUUAGUCACCAGAGUUUCAAGUGUGCUUCUGUUUAGUUAUCAAACUGCAAUUCCAUUGAUACCCCGUCUUGAGUGUCUCCUCUGUGAGUAACAUGAAAAGGACCUCUGGUUAAAUAGAAAACUUGUCUUGAAUUUGGAAUUACAACAUGCCCUUACUUAUUCAGGACUCAAUUAACUGAGCUUCAGGAUAAUCCAAGGUGAAGAAAAACAAGAGCUGACAAAGAAAAGAAAUGGUGCUGCUGGGUUAGGGUCUCCCCAACUGAGCUGGUCUCAGCAAGUGGCGUCCAUUCGUGGGAGCUUGAAUCCAGGUCGAAGGGUCACCGGAGCAAUGGUUGGAAUGGAAAACUAGCUGGAGGACACCCGAGUACUCUAAAAGCAAUCCCCAUGGCCAAAAUCAACAGCCAAUUUGGAUACCAUCAAGACACCUGAAACCUUAUCAUGAGCCAGAUGCCAAGGAAGAGAUUCGGGAGGAUCCUGAGGACCCCCCGGUUGCAGCCAUGUUGAGACUGAUGCUGAGGAGGACCCCAACUGUCACGAGCAACACCCGUCGACCACAGCCACCCACCUGGGGACAGAUCAAGAAGCUGUCACAGAUGGCGGAGGAAAGCGGAACAACCAGUCACAAUGAAUAAUUUAAUGGUAGCUAUGAUAGUGGUUAUCACCACUGCCGUGAGUAUUCCUACAAUAAGGGCUGGUAAUAACGCCUGGAUGCAAUCACUCUAUGACACAGUUACAUAUGCUUUCUGAUCUCAGUAUUUACCAUAAUAAAUCUGCUCCUAUAAUUGAGGCAUACCACCCUUAAAAACCUAUUUGUAAACAGGAUUGGACCCAGUUAGAAAAAAUGAACACAAUUGUUUAGGAAGAUUGCCUUGCAGAACAGGCAGAGAUGCUGCACAACGAUUCCUAUGGAAUCAUUAUUAAUUGGUCCCCUAAGGGGAUGUUUAGCUUGAAUUGCACCUCUCAGUCUGCGUGCCACAGUCACACUAUGUUUAGAUGAUCUGAACAAAACAGUCAGAUGGUAGAAAUGUUAAGAAGUACGGCAAA
rnacentral:lncRNA from 1 species